AUAGCACGAGUUUGAUCAUGGCUCAGGAUGAACGCUGGCGGCGUGCCUAACCCAUGUAAGUCGAGCGAUGCUGUUAGCAAUAGCAGCAGAGCGGCGGAAGGGUGAGUAACACGUAGGAGACCUACCUCAUCGCAGGGAACAACUUCGCGAAAGCGGAGCUAAUACCCAGAAGGCUCGUGGAUUCAGUUGCACGAGGAGAGUGCCUCUGAAAGGAGGUGCGUGAUGAGAGGGUCCUGCGGCCCAUCAGCUCGUUGGCAGGGUAACGGCCUACCAAGGCAACGACGGGUAGGGGGUCUGAGAGGACGAUCCCCCACACUGGAACUGAAACACGGUCCAGACGCCUACGGGUGGCAGCAGGGAGGAAUAUUGGGCAAUGGGCGAAAGCCUGACCCAGCAACGCCGCGUGAAGGAAGAAGGUCUUCGGAUUGUAAACUUCUUUUAUCAGGGACGAAGGAAGUGACGGUACCUGAUGAAUAAGCCACGGCUAACUACGUG
rnacentral:rRNA from 1 species